AGAUUAAGCCAUGCAUGUCUCAGUAUAAGCAUCCAUAUGGUGAAACUGCGAAUAGCUCAUUACAAUAGUUAUAGCUUACUUGGUGGUCACUCUUUACAUGGAUAACUGUGGUAAUUCUAGAGCUAAUACAUGCGUCAAAACCCAACUUCCUGGACGGGUUGUGUUUAUUAGCCCCAGAAUCAACCCAGGCUCUGCCUGGCCCUGUGGUGAACCAUAAUAAGCAAGCGAAUCGCGUAGCAUCCGCUGGCGAUUAACCAUUCAAGUUUCUGACCUAUCAGCUUCCGACGGUACGGUAUUGGCCUACCGUGGCAAUGACGGGUAACGGAGAAUUAGGGUUCGAUUCCGGAGAGGGAGCCUGAGAAAUGGCUACCACAUCUAAGGAAGGCAGCAGGCGCGCAAAUUACCCAACCCUGACACAGGGAGGUAGUGACAAGAAAUAACAAUAUAGGGCAUCCAUGUCUUGUAAUUGGAAUGAAUGGAAUUUAAAUCACUUUACGAGUAUCGAUUGGAGGGCAAGUCUGGU
rnacentral:rRNA from 1 species